GAGGAAAGUCCGGGCUCCUUCGGACAGGGCGCCAGGUAACGCCUGGGGGGCGUGAGCCCAUGGAAAGUGCCACAGAAAAUAUACCGCCGGCUUGCCGGUAAGGGUGAAAAGGUGCGGUAAGAACGCACCGCGCGACUGGUAACAGUUCGCGGCACGGUAAACCCCGCCCGGAGCAAGACCAAAUAGGGGAGUGCGGGUUAAUAGCCCACCGUCGGUUCCGAACGGACUCCCGGGUAGGUUGCUAGAGGCAACUGGUGACAGUUGUCCCAGAUGAAUGGUUGUCGAUGACAGAACCCGGCUUAC
rnacentral:RNase_P_RNA from 1 species